AGUGGGGAAUAUUGGACAAUGGGCGCAAGCCUGAUCCAGCCAUGCCGCGUGAGUGAUGAAGGCCUUAGGGUUGUAAAGCUCUUUUAGCGGAGACGAUAAUGACGGUAUCCGCAGAAAAAGCCCCGGCCAACUUCGUGCCAGCAGCCGCGGUAAUACGAAGGGGGCUAGCGUUGCUCGGAAUCACUGGGCGUAAAGCGCACGUAGGUGGGUCGUUAAGUCGGGGGUGAAAUCCCAGAGCUCAACUCUGGAACUGCCUUCGAUACUGGCGAUCUUCGAGUCCGGGAGAGGUGAGUGGAACUGCGAGUGUAGAGGUGAAAUUCGUAGAUAUUCGCAAGAACACCAGUGGCGAAGGCGGCUCACUGGCCCGGUACUGACACUGAGGUGCGAAAGCGUGGGGAGCAAA
rnacentral:rRNA from 1 species